AUGUGAAGCAGUAGCCACUUUGAAAAAACAAUAUGGUAGCUUCUCAAGAUAUCCUACUAGAAUUACCAUAUAACUCAGUAAUUCUGCUCCUGGGUAUAAACCCCAAAGAACAGAAAGAAGGAUCUCAAGGAAAUUAUCAUUAAUCUGUGUUCAUAGCAGCACUAUUCAAAAUAGCCAAAGGUUAGAAGCAAUUCAACUGUUCUUUGACAAACAAAAUGUGGUAUAUAUGUGUAAUGGAAUAUUAUUCAGCCUUAUAAAGGAAGAAAAUUCUCAAGCAUGUUACAUACAGCAUAGAUGAAUCUUGUGGAUAUUAUGUAAAGUAAAAUAAGCCAGUCAUUAAAAACAGAUAUGGUGUGAUUCCACUUAUGUGAGGUACAUAGUUAGGUUCAUAGAGGCAGAAAGUAGAACAGUGAUGGCCAUGAGCUGGGGGAGGGGAGAAUGGGAAAUAGUUUAAUGGGUAAAGGUUUCUGUUUUGUGAGAUGAAAGAGUUCUGGAGAUUGGUUUCACAACAAUAUGAAUAUACUUAAUGCUAUGCUCUACAACUGUACACUAAAAAUAGUUAAGACAGUCAGUCUUAUGUAUAUUUUAUCAUAAUUAAAAAUAAAUAAGCAAAUAAAACUAAUUUAAUGAUCUACUCAUUUAUGAAACCAAUAUUUAUAUUCCAUUCAAUAUACUAGAUCAAGAAUGUCCAGGCCAAGACAGAUGUUUUGGGACACUUUAGUAGGUGCUCAAAAAAUAUUCAUGGAUUUAAAUGAAUGAAUUAAAUAAUGAAUGAAUGACCAUAUAUAUGGUCUCCUUGGAAACUAUUCUAAGCCUGAUUAGUAGUGUUUAUCACGAAUCUGGAGAGACGUAGUAUUUAUUACAUAAAUCCACUGAAACACAAAUGAAAAGUAGCAUAUGCCUCCAAGGACUCAAGAGUUCAGAAGAGGGAAUGAAAAUAGAAAGAAAAAAUUUAUAAUGUAGGCUCAUAUUGUCAUACAUAAAACAAACCCGUAAAGAUGAUCUCCUGUGUUGAGGGGUGGUUAAUUUUAUCAACCACAUCUUACAUUUGUUAUUUUUUUCCAUGUAAUAUGGACUGAUGUGUCUUGAAUAUUGGUUUGCAAUCCUACCUUUGUGGUCCUCUUUUAUUCUUCUUUCUGUGGAAGCUCAAAUAAGCC
rnacentral:lncRNA from 1 species